UUAAUCGAUGUAGUCAUCGUACCAAGGAAUGUACACAGACAGACAUGAGGAAUUACAUAGGAGAAGAGGUCCACUGAAUGGAAAUCCGCAGAAGUUUACGGAUUCGUCUGAUCAUAAUGAUGAAUUUGACCUAAGACAAACAGACAACACAGAAUUCUACAAUAAAUCGAACAGUGACAUACCACCACCUUAUUCUACGGUAGUUAAAGAUACAAACAAUACAGGCUAUAACGUAUCAGAAGAGAAUAAUCAAGAG